AACAGACUCUUUUCCCACCUAGUAACGGACUCUUCACCUAAUAGACCCUAUUCAAUUUUAAACCUUAGCCAAUCGAGUUAGCUUAGAUUGUGAGGUCCAACCCCAGCCAAUGGGGAAAGGACACAGAAGUGCUAGGAACUGCAUUAGAGAUAAAAACCCCUUUCCUACCCUGCUCGGUGUGCUCUUGCGAUAAUGACUGGCGCAAGCUGCACCCUUCUGCAGAAGAAAAUUUGCCUUGCUGAGAAAUCUUGUGUUUGAGUGCUCAUUUUCUUUACGACUCUGAGCUUUUAUUUCUAACAGAACAAGGUGCCAGUGUCUGUUUCUGGGGAAGCCUCAGGAAGCUUCCAAUCAUGGUGGAAGGCAAGGAGAGCCAGUGUGUCACAUGGCGAGAGAUUUUAACAAUCAGAUUGCACAUUAACUAAUAGAGCAAGAACUCAUUCAUUACUGUAAGGAGGGCAUCAAGCCAUUCAUGAGGGAUCUGUCCCCAUGACCCAAACAUCUCCUACUAGGCCCCACUUCCAACACUGGGGGUCACAUUUCAAUUUGAGAUUUGGAGGGGACAAAUAUUCAAACUAUAUUAAGUAGUAUGGACUCAAUCCAAUAUGACUGCUGUCCUUAUGAGAAGCAGAGAAGAGACACGGAGACAGACCCAGGAAGAAUGCUAUGAGGCAAUGGAGACAGUGAUUAAAGUGCUGUAUCAACAAGCAUUUACUGGCAACACCAGAAGCUAAAAGUAAGGCAUGGAACAGAUUUCUUCCCUGGAGCCUUCAGAAGGAGCAUGGCCCUGCCAAGACCUUGAUUUUGGACCUCUGACUUCCAGAACUGUGAAGAAACUGAAGAAGAGAACUUAUGCUUCUAGAUGUUGCAGAAGCUUAAAUUCCGGUUGCCUGAGGCCUAGUCCAGGGGGUCGUGGCAGCAGCAGGCUGAGACCGAUAAGCCUCACCAGCCUCCUGAAGGUGCUUACUGAUCAUGUGCCAGGACACUCUUAUCAUCAACAGGCAUGCGGCAACUGGAGGGCAGUGGUUAAGACAGCAGGUCAGCAACAGAGAUAAGCCAAGACAGAAAAAAGCUGGGGAAGAAUCCUUCUGUCCACAGGAGCUUUUGGAAUUUUUUUUGUUUUUUAGACGGCGUCUUGUUUUGUUGCCCAGGCUGGAGUGCAAUGGAGCAAUCUCGGCUCACUGCAACCGGAAAAUGUUGGCUGGGUGCAGUGGCACACACCUGUAAUCCAAGCACUUUGGGAGGCCAAGGCAGGUUGAUUGCUUGAACCCAGGAGUAGGAGACCAGCCUGGGCAACAUAGUGAGACCCCUUCUCUACUAAAACCACAAAAAUAAGCUGGGGGUGGUGGCGCAUGUUUGUAGUCCCAGCUACUUGGGAGGCUGAGGUGGGAGGAUUACUUGAGCCUGGGAGGUUGAGGUUGCAGUGAGCUGUGCUCACACCACUGCACUCCAGCCUGGGUAACACAGCAACUCCUCAAAUAAAUAAAUUAAAAUAAAAAGGGAAAAAGUGAAAGGGGCCAUUCCAAACCUCCACCCCUUGGUUAUUCGGUUCAUGCGGUAUUUGGCUAUGCGGGAGACGUCACCAAAUAUUAGCUACUGGCUUAAGUCAUAUAUUCAUUCUGUAAGACAGCCUUCUAAUCCUCCAGCUAAUUUUCUCCAGCUAAUGUAGUAACUAAGCUGUUAGCAGGCAUUCUGCCAUUUUGUCAAGUCAGAUGCUUCUGGGUCCUUGGGGCUUGUGGUAGUGCUAGUAAAUUGUAUCAGUGUAAUUCUCUCUCAUCGUGUCCUUCACUGUAGACAGGUUGCUUAGUGAUUUGUAUGGAAUAUCACAGCAAUGAAUAGGCCUUCUGCUUAGUGCCAGCAGGACCAUUUCUGGCAGGCAAAUUCAUAUUUGGAAUGUUUCUAUUCCCAAAGGCACAAAUUGCUUCUCCUUCUGUGUAGAAAGGGUCCAAUGUAUCAAUCUACCACCAAGAGGCUCAUUGGUUCCCUGGAGAAUGGUGUGAUCAGUCAGGGGCCCAGCAUAGCCUUGACUCUUGGUGCAUGGGCAGAGAAGCCUCAGUGAGAAGUCCAUGCAGACCUCCUUUCUUGUUGCCAUGGCACUUUAUAAAUGGGCCUAUUAAGCACCAGGGUGGCUGGGGAAAAAGGCUGACAUCCAUAGGACUAGCUAUCUUACCCAUCUGAUUGAGAGCCUACUCUGCAGUAGAUGCCAAACAGGACAUUUUCUACAUAUGUUCCAGUAGUUAUUUACCAUUGCUUUUUGCCUGUCUGCACUAUGCCAGUUUGCAGAUGCUAUGAAGUACUACCUUUGCUUUUCAUUUAAUCAUGCCCCAGAAUUUGCUCUUGUAAAGGGUGUGGUGUAUUAUAUCACAGUAUAGAUAACUCAAAAGCUAUCUAUUUAUUUACUUAAUUUUUUAUUGAGGCAGUGUCCUACUAUGUUGUCCAGGCUGGUCUCAAGCUCCGAUGCUCAAGGGAUCCUCCCACUUCACCCUCCUGAGUAGCUGGGAUUUUAAAGCCUCUUAAAAGAAUUAUUCUCAUGUGCUUCUGGUAGCAAGAUAUGAGGUUGGCUUUAUCACUGUCUCUUAGGGUCAUCUCUAAGUGAGGCUAUGUAAUACUUCCAGCUGGAGCCAGCAUACUGUGCAGACCAAUUCAUAAACCAGGACUUGUCUUGGUUUAUUCCCAUUGGUUUAUAUCCAUUCGUGUCUUCUCUCAUGAAGCCUUAUAUGUGGACUGAGGGAAAGCCAGAGAAACAGAAGGAAGAGGUGUUAUGGAACCCCGAGCAAGCUACUUGAUUUUUUUUUUUUUUUUUUUUUUGAGAUGGAGUCUUGCUGUGUCGCCCACGCUGGAGUGCAGUGGCACGAUCUCGGCUCACUGCCACCUCCGCCUCCCAGGUUCACGCCAUUCUCCUGCCUCAGCCUCCCGAGUA
rnacentral:lncRNA from 10 species